rnacentral:ncRNA from 1 species
AAACGUUCUCAGGGCGGGGCGAAAUUCCCCACCGGCGGUAUCGGGUGUAAAAUCCCGGAGCCCGCGAGCGCUUCUUGGCACAUGUUGAGAAGGUCAGCAGAUCCGGUGAGAAGCCGGAGCCGACGGUAUAGUCCGGAUGGAAGAGAGCAAGC